UAAGCACAGCUUUAAAAAGUGACGGGUGUAAUAGGGGGGCUGUGAAAUCCUCUGAGGGCCUCACAGCGAAGACGACUUUUACGCAGAUUCCUGAACCGGGGAAAGUUGCUGCCACCGUCGUCGCAGAGCGUUCCAGGCAGAGGAGCGGCAAAUGCAAGGUGUUUAACCUCCUUGAAAAUCCUUCUAACCUAGCUCACCGAGCUGGACAGCGGCGAGCGAGGGCGGGAGGAUCCCAGCAAAUUGCAGAACUAACCCACCGUUGUGCUACCCACGCUGGCGCUCGGAGAAUCCUAAUAGAGAUUUAAAACACGAUGACUUGGAGGUUCUUAAAUCAUCCGCCUGCACCAGAUCAACGCCGGGUGGAUGAAAGCCAGGAGCCUGGACCAUUCAUUUUGAAUUCAAGGAGUUACCCUGCCCACGCCCGUCGUUUUCCUAACGCUUCUUCCAUUUUUCAGUAAUUCCUCUGGGAAAGAGAAGCUCAAUCUUUCCCCUGUCCUCCUGCUUCAAGCUCUUUUAUUUCUCUUUAUUUCUUAUCCUUUCUCCACCUCCCAUUCUCAUCGUUUCAUUAGAAUUGCUUUUACUGCGGGAUGCAAGCCUUAAAAUCCGAAAAGAAGUUAUUUAUUUGAAUAUGGCUUUAUUGUUGAAACUGCCAUCCCAUUUUUUUUUGUUUGUUUUGUUUUGUUUUUUGCUUUUCCUUUAAUCUCUUUCAAACAACAAAGUGUGUGUAUAUUUUUUUCUAUUUGUACUUGAGGCAAUUAAUUGGACAGAAUGAGACUUAUUCAUAUUAUGCCUUGCUUCCUAGGAAAAAGGAAUCUUACUGUGUCUUUUCAUAGUUUCAUUUCCUCUACUACUCCUAAAUAAGCUUCCAGACUCACCAGCUCCUAAAAACAAAAGGAAAUAAAGUUGAAUACCAGACAGAGCUAAUUGUUCUUGAACAAGCUUGUUAAAUCCUAAAAUUAGCUUUCUCUUCAGAGUUUUAUUCUAAAGCAAGGAUCUGAAUGUCUAUUCCAGAGAAAUCAAUGAUUCUAUAAUAUGAGCUUCUAAAGACCCUCUUUGAACUGUUGAACAAAUACUUUUUAUCUUUGGAGACAAGUACACACCA
rnacentral:lncRNA from 1 species